rnacentral:lncRNA from 1 species
CAUAAUUUGCAUGACUGCCAAGAUACAGCAUUAUGUUUAGAUUAAUUCUUUGUCUUGUCUCUGAUAACUAAUAGCUUUCGAAAAAGCAUCACUAUUAUUGUUUUAGUGUAUUUAGUGCUGUUUAUUUUAUAUUGAUUGAUUUUAACAUUUCCUAUGCUGCUAGUGUCAUGCUAUCUGGAGAAAUGAAUCUAUUGUUUGCUACUGUGGCCUAAAAUUAAAUCUUUCAUCAGAUUUUCUUUUUGAAGAUUUUUUCUCAUUCGACUUACUUAUAUCGCUCCUUGCUGUCUAGGGUUUGGUUUAAAAAUUACGAGGUAAACUUUAUGAAUUUCUUUUUCUUAUUUCUGUGUUUGUUUUUAAUGAAUUAGACUCCCAAUGUUUACACUUUUUUUAGAGAGAGAGAGAGAGAUAAAGAGAAAGAGUUUUUAUUUUCCAUAAAUUGUAGAAAUUACUUAGCUGCAGUAAAUAAUAAAACACAGUAUUAUUUUUCAUUCUGAUAUACAAUCGUCUUUUUUUUUCUCUCUCCUCUUUUAUAUAAUUAUGUCUGUUUUAAUAAGGUUGCAAAUGUUUAUUAUAUGCGUCUUAACGAAAAUUGACUUUUAUGUAAAAUCAUAAAUUUAAAUUUUCGUUGCUAUUUUUAUUGUUUAUAUGUUAGUAGUUAACAUCAGUUAAUACUAGUUACUAUUGUUAUGUCUACGUGUAUUAACAAUUAAUACAAUUAGAAUAUUUCCUACUCUACAGACGAGAGAACAGUCAGAUAGAUUUAUAAAGUUUUGUUUGUUGACUUUUUUUUUUUUUUUGCCUGUCUUAAUUUACUUGAAACUCGAAGCUACAGACCAUAAAAUCAUUCAGAUAUAAAAAAAAAAAAAGAGAGAGAGAGAGAGAGAACAGUCUAGUUAUUGUUUGUUUUUUUUCAUAGUAUUUUCUUUUCGAAAACUCCGCUAAGAUACUUUCCUCUUCUUUUCUCUGCUAUCAACUUCCACAAUCUGUGCUUUUUUAAAUAUCAUCCUACUCCAUCCAACUCAGUAUCGUCAUCACUUGCAGAGAUUUCUCAUUGUCAAAAUAGUCUUCUUUCCUUCUUCAUCAUCAGUUUUCUUCUUUCUCUCGUAAUCCAUACUUUAAAAAAAAAAAAGAAAAGAAAAGGAAAGGGGAAAAGAACCUUAUCCGAACUUUGUUCUCUCACAGCAGCAGCGCUGUCUCACUUCGAAACUUCCAUCCACUAGUUUACACAACAAACUUUACAGGAGAAACUCAACAAUAUAUUUUAACUUCACAAAACUUUGAUCUCGAAGGAUUUUUACAUGGGUUCGAUAUCUCUUUUUUCUUCUUCUCCUGAUCAGAAAAUAAAUCGAGGACGAAACGUCGAUGAAGUACGGACUGUAACUUAUCCGUUCAUCAAGACAUUUCCCUAAUGUUUCUUCAUAUUCCAGGUAGGGACAUCUUCCUCUAGUUUUACUUGGAGCUGUAUGUAUGUUUGUAUUACUUUAAAGAUAGACGUUCAUAUUUGAUCUGUAUGUAUGUGUACGUACUAUGAUGUGUCGUUUUCCUAUUGUCAGUUUCAACCUUACUAC